rnacentral:rRNA from 1 species
AAUGAACGCUGGCGGCAUGCCUAACACAUGCAAGUCGAACGAAGGCUUCGGCCUUAGUGGCGCACGGGUGCGUAACGCGUGGGAAUCUGCCCUCAGGUUCGGAAUAACAGCGAGAAAUUGCUGCUAAUACCGGAUGAUAUCGCGUGCUUAAAGAUUUAGCGCCUGAGGAUGAGCCCGCGUAGGAUUAGCUAGUUGGUGUGGUAAAGGCGCACCAAGGCGACGAUCCUUAGCAGGUCUGAGAGGAUGAUCAGCCAAACUGGGACUGAGACACGGCCCAGACUCCUACGGGAGGCAGCAGUGGGGAAUAUUGGACAAUGGGCGAAAGCCUGAUCCUGCAAUGCCGCGUGAGUGAUGAAGGCCUUAGGGUUGUAAAGCUCUUUUACCCGGGAUGAUAAUGACAGUACCGGGAGAAUAAGCUCCGGCUAACUCCGUGCCAGCCGCCGCUGUAA